GUACUUACUAAACUCAAUAUGUAAUUACUUUGUUAUUAAACUUAAUUCUUUUACCUUAAAUAUUUAUCUUCAAGACUCAAAGCAAAAGAGUUUUUAAGUCUAUACUCAUUCAGUAACUUGUAAGUACAUUCUAUGUAUAUUAUGCCAUGCCAGAUUCUGCAAAUGAUAAAAAGAAGACUCUACCUUAUGAUCAUUUAUGUGAAAAUUUAUGUUCCUUUAUGGAACAAAGACACCUAUGGUGAAUUCAAUACUAAUAUGCAAAUGCUACAUAAGUGGCCACUGAGGAAGGGCCAUGGAAACCUACCAAAUUAUUACUGAACAAUAUAGACAGAAGAUAGGAUCUCAAAGAAGAUGGGAUACACAUUGUACCCAAAAGAGUUGAUGGGAUUAGAAUGGGCCAAGAGAAGAGGGCUCAGAUGAUAGGAAUACUAUAAACAAAGCCUCAGAAGUGGGAAUCAUUAGGAUGGCUCAUCAGGCAGCCGUGCUACUGCCUACUGAGGGAAAAAGGAGGAAAAAAUAGAGAGUACAAUUUGGGGUCAGGUGUAAGCAGCGAUGCUGCUGCCUACUAAGUGGUAGAAAGGAGAGAGAAGCAUUUCUUUUGGAAUUGCUGAAAUAGCUGGAGAUGUGAUUGCAAAGGCAGUCAGUGAGUAGAUUGUGUAGAGGGAGGGUAGAAUUUCACACUGCAGAGUUUGCGUUUUACCUUGUAAUCGAAAUCCAUUUUAAAGUAACCCACAGAAGGUACAGGUCAGAAUCAAAAUCUUACGAACAUUUUUCCAAACACAGUUACAGGUUAAAAGAAAGCAUUGCCCUGCCAGAGACUAGUUAGACCAUCCUCUAAAGGGUGCUGUCAAAUCAAUUCUGUGCCGGGCCACAGGAGGGACAUCCUGGCGAAUGCUGGAACUUGGUGAGGACUGAAGAAUUUUGUUUUCCUUUUCUACUUCAUCAUUGUUGGAAUUUAAAAAUGAGGGAACGCUGCAAAGAGAAUGGUAAACUAGGGCUUGGGAAGGUUGCUCAUUACUUGAGGGGCCUCUCAUAGGAUUCCGGGCACUCAAAUCCCCAGAGGCUGUUACUGACACAGAUUUGUGUCAUUUUUCAGGACUCAUGUAUAUGACACAUAUAUAUAAGCAUACAUAUGACACAUAUUUCACAUACUGGUGAUGUAUGGUGUCCUUAGCGUGGUGGCAAGGAAAUAGGAUAAGAUUUUAUAUAGCCACUCAUGUGGUCACUGCUUUUAUAUCCCUUAGAAAUUCCCACAUUGUUCUUUUUCCUGCUGCCUCUUGACUGCCCUCAUCUCUGCCCUCAAACUUUUCUUUGCUUCUCUGUUAUUCAUUUUAUCAUCAAUCUUUACCUUUUGCCGAUAUUCUCCAGUUUGUUUUUGGUAAAAGUUACAACAGAGAUAUAACAGGAACAGGAACAACAGAAUAAUACUGAGUCACUUACUUCUAGAAACCUGGCAGUACUUGUGGAAUAUAUGGAUGCCUGAGAAGUUACAAACUUCAUUAGAACAAUCUGUGAGGAAAAGUGGUAGUUACAAAAAUCAAAGAAUGGCACUUCCUGAAUAAAAAGUUUCCUCUUUAUCUUUGCUGUCCCUUCAUGUGAAGGCUAUUGUUAAGAUGGUUUAUAAGCAUGACAGAGAGCCUAGACACUACAGCUGGAGGCCUGGAAUAUCAUCAGAUGGAGUGGCACCAUCAAAGAAAUUCCUGGUAUUACCAAGUGGAGUAGGCAUGGGAACAGUUUUUGUGGUAAAUACUUUGGGUGUCUUCACUCUACCAGUCACCCACUGUAGGGACACAGGGCAACAGAAGGCAUGAGAAUUUGAACAGAAGAGGCAUCCUAUUUCCUGUACUUCCUAUACAAGACCCAGUGACCACAGGCUCCCAGUAAGUAUGAUAUGUUCUGUUACCAUUUCUUCUUACACCUGACCCCAAAUUGUAUGUACUCUAAAUCUUUCUGGAAUAGACAGAUUUAAAUACUGCUAAUAAAAUACAUACCACUACAUGCUACACAUGCUUAAUAUGCAUGAAUGUUUAUAGAGAUAUUUUUUAUUUUUCUCAGAUGGGUAUAAUUUUGGGUCUGUUUCUAAGAUAUUUUGUUUCCUCAAUUCAUCUGAUAACACUGAAGCAUAGAUCAUUGUUUACAUAUACUAUAAAAAUCUAGACUCAAUUUAAAUUUUAAGGAGAGAAAAUAUCCCAUGAAGAGAGACUCUAAGAUUUAUCUUUCCAUGCAAAAUUUGGAAUGUUUGCCACAGUUUUUAAAAGUAAUGCUUUCUCUAGCAGGAGGUUGUACAUUCCAACUGAAAAAAUCUUCAGAGAUUUUUCUGCAAGAGAGUCUCCUACAGUAUUUAUACAUCUGUUCACUAUUGUUGCCAGCUUUGACAUACAGUGAGCUUAGAAGUCAUCACUUCCAUUUUCACAAGAAAACACUGAAGAGACUAAAAAUGAAUGAUGAGGAAAACCAUCACCCUGAACACUGAAGAGACAGAUAAUUAAGAAAAUCUUCACUACAUGCUGAAUUUUCAGAAAAUGGUCAGAAACAGGUUAUCUAAUGUGGGGGUCUGGCACGUCUGCCGGGAGGCUUCCGACCAGUGGAGAGCCUCAGCCCCACUCAAAUGUUCUCAACCUGGAAGAAGGAGUGCGAGGAAGAAAAGAUAGAGAGUGGGGUCUGGAGGACUGCAAGGCAAUGCCGGAGCAGCAAGUACCAAAACAGCAAGUUUAUUUGUGCACACCACAGAUUUUAUGUAUAUACCUUUCAGUGCUUGAGGAGUGACGUACAUUCCAUUGCAUCUUGAAAUAAAAUCAAGAACAUAAAUCACAAGAAAAGGGGUACAGAAAGUAUGACUCUUAAUCAUAGGGUGUACAGCGAAGGGACAAUAACGUUUGCAAAAGGGGGUCAUAAAUCUAAACAUAUGUUUAUCUAAAAUCAGUCAAACAAGCAAGUAAGAUCGUUAACAAGGUACAGCUGGACCUUUCCAAAUGUCAUUCUAACCUUGCCUGUUCAUAUAGAAUUAUAUGCAAACAAUAUGAUUGAGUUAGUAAAGGUAAACAUAGUCAUACAGUUAUUGUGCAGAGAAGGAACUAGGAGGCACACAAUGUCUAACCAUACAAUGUCUCGUUACACCACAAGGCCUGAGCUCAGCCAUUCUGUUGCAAAUGUCAGAGGCAAAGAUUGAUGUAACCAGACUUCCUCUUUUCCCUUAGCUCAACAGCCUCUAGGAGAGGAAUGUGUAUGGGCUCACGCUCAAGAUGGUGAGGGUCUUGUCAAGGGCCCUUCGCAGGAGCAAUCCCCACAAUCUAAAAACAGAAAUUCCUUUGAACUUAGUAAAAGUGCAACAUUUAGGUCAGACCCAAGAAAUAUGAGAAAUGUGGGAAAAUAAAAUUUUUAAUUAAAAAAUCUUAAUUUUUUUUCUGUUUUAGCUAAAUGUUAAUUUGGGCUAUUAGAACUGAAAAUUUUACAUAACACAUGAUUAUUGAGCUCAUAACUCCAUAUUUUAAAACUACUGUUU